UACAGAGGUCCCAAGCGUUGUUCGGAUUCAUUGGGCGUAAAGGGUGCGUAGGUGGCGUCGUAAGUCGGGUGUGAAAUCUCGGGGCUUAACUCCGAAACUGCAUUCGAUACUGCGGUGCUUGAGGACUGGAGAGGAGACUGGAAUUUACGGUGUAGCAGUGAAAUGCGUAGAUAUCGUAAGGAAGACCAGUGGCGAAAGCGGGUCUCUGGACAGUUCCUGACACUGAGGCACGAAGGCCAGGGGAGCAAACGGG
rnacentral:rRNA from 1 species